AUUAUUUCACGCAAAGGAAAUAAUUGGAUUAAUUAAAGGAAACUUUAUUUAAUUCAUAUCGGGAGGAAAUGCACGAUAUA
rnacentral:ncRNA from 2 species